UAGCCGUUCAACGAGAACAUACACAUGAUUCAGGACACGUGAAUCAAGCAAACGAUCAAGGAAAAGACAAUACCAGUAGCAGAAUUAAUCUGAAGGCCAGCGCAGGAAACAUCAGCUACACCACGUUACAAAUGUAUGAGAACACAACGUUCAGAGAGCCAUACGAGCCUAUGCAGAUGGCGGGAGAUUCUUAAGCAUGUCAUAAUAUGUAUGUAUUUUUUUAAUUGUUUAAUUGUGUUGCAACCAUAUGAUUGUUCAGCUUUACUAUGAUUUACCAAACUCUGAAUUUUGCUCAGUUUCAGUUGUUGUUGUUUUUUUUAGACAAAACUAUGCCCAUAUGAGUAUCAGUUGUAAUAACAAUGUUCAAAGAGGCUUAAACAAACAGAAUCAUGAGUAAAACCAAUUGAAUAUGCUUUGAAAACUGAUAGAUGGAACCAGAUCUGCAUCAACUUAAAUCAUUAAAAUGUACACACAUUGAUAUAAACCUCAUUGCAAAAAUCUUCUUUUUAAAUAUAAAAAAUGGGAAUAAUUUACGCAUUGCACACCUUUUUCCAACAAAAAUAGACAAUUUUAAAUAAAGAUCUAGAAAACAUGUUUAACAUCAUUUAUAAGAAUUAACAGCAUACAUACGAAAGAGUAAAUGGGAAAUGUAUUUGUUUCAAUCAACACAUUGAACUUCAGAUACGUGGUUUUGAAUGUUGUUGACAUUAAUUCUAUUCACGUAUUUAAUCAUGUAUCAAUAUACGUGUAUUAUUACCGACACAAAU